rnacentral:tRNA from 1 species
GCCGGUAUCGUAUAAUGGUAGUACGAAUCCGUCGUAACGAUUAUGUGGGGGUUCGAUUCCCUCUACCGGCAC